rnacentral:rRNA from 1 species
AUGAUGAACUUUGUGUGUGCCCAGAUCAAGAAAGCAGCUGAUGAGAUCGAGACUAUUCUGGAAACAACCCCGGCUGGCAAAAGCGAUAGGGAAGGUGCACUUCGAGCAUUCAUUAAGCGCCAGGGCCAAAAGUUAAGGUGGCUAUCAAACCUUUUCGGUUGUCGUGACCCCGAGUAUGUAUCACCAGAACGGUCUAGGUCGGCGACACCAUCAGAUCCCACUUCGGGCCAGGGCCAUGGUGAUCCUUUGGAGGAUGAGGAUGUGGGUGUGGUCACCCAAGAGGUUGCUGAUGAUAUGACCUUGGGGACCUACCAAUUUCGGUCUGCAUACGAGUUAAAGCCUAGGAAGGGAAUCAACAAAUACACUCCUGAAGACUUCACCCAAAGAGGCAAAAGGACAGUCGGCACCUCGCGGAUGGCGCUUUGGAUGACUAUGUGGCUGACGAUGUGGAUGACGUGGAGGAACCGGAGCCGGAGCGGGUUGCUCUUCCUAGGAAGGCGAAGAAGAUAG